rnacentral:rRNA from 1 species
CUGUUUUAAGAUGAGGUUUCAUUUGAGGUCCCCCAAAGACGAUGGGGUUGAUAGGCCAGACCUGGACGCACCGCAAGGUGUGAAGGCUACUGGUACUAAUAGACCAAAACAAACACACAC